rnacentral:rRNA from 1 species
CGAAGGUGGCAAGCGUUGUUCGGAUUUACUGGGCGUACAGGGAGCGUAGGCGGUUGGAUAAGCCCUCCGUGAAAUCUCCAGGCUUAACCUGGAAAGUGCAGAGGGGACUGUUCAGCUAGAGGAUGGGAGAGGAGCGCGGAAUUCCCGGUAUAGCGGUGAAAUGCGUAGAGAUCGGGAGGAAGGCCGGUGGCGAAGGCGGCGCUCUGGAACAUUUCUGACGCUGAGGCUCGAAAGCGUGGGGAGCAAACAGGAUUAGAUACCCUGGUAGUCCACGCCUUAAACGAUGGAUACUAAGUGUCGGCGGGUUACCGCCGGUGCCGCAGCUAACGCAGUAAGUAUCCCGCCUGGGAAGUACGGCCGCAAGGUUG